ensembl:misc_RNA
UUAUUUUAUUCUUCGGAGCUUGUGGACUCCAUCCACCCAAGCUCUGGGCAAAUGCUCAUCUGACUUCCAUAGACACAGAGCAAGCAGACAACCACACCAAGAAGAAGAAGGAGGAUAUUU